CUGUAUGUCUUCUUUCACUCAAAAUUACUUCUUUCAUUUUUAGACAGAAGCAUUUAGACCUCAAAAUUACUUGGAGAUUCAUCUGAAAGUCUUACUGUAAAGCCCACAUCUGUAUAAAAAAAUGAAAGAAUGAUCUGGUUGAUGUGGAUGUGUGGAACCUAGGAACCUUCUCUUGGAUUUUCUCUUAUUCCCCAAAAAACUUCAUUUCCUCUAAAGAGCUGCUCAGAAGUUUGAAAACCAGUGGACAAGCCAUCCUAGCUGUCUUGAUGCUAGAGAAGCAAAGACGCUUUACAGAGAUGUAGCAUUCCUGUAACAGUGAUAUCCGAAUAAAAUGAACACUAGAUUCCCACUUGGAGUGGAAGAACAUUGCAGUUGAGGCCUUGGGUAAGCUGUUUCAUAGCCUUCCAGGACAACACUUGCACAGGUUAUCUUUAAGCACCAACAAAAGAAAUGGAGAAAUUUGAGCCAUGUAUCCUGAGCUCUGAAAGGCAGCAAUCAUCUUGACCCCAAGCAUACACCAUGUUCAGCUUCCUCCCCUUGGCCAGGUACCACAGCUACUUCUAUCCCAGUGAUCAGCAGGCCCUCCAGCAUGAAGACCUUUGAGAAGGAUCUAUAGCUGUCAACUCCUAAUAUGAUUUGUGCACUAUCACCUUGAAGUAAACCAGACUAGUUAUUUUCAUGCUAAGAGUUUGAAAACAGUGCCUUCUUUCUGAUGUCUCUUGUAGAAUAUUGGCAGCGGGAUCUCAAUUUUUACUUUAUACCUGAAGGGCAGCUUUUUGGUCUGAUAGUUGUAGUGCAAUCAUUCAUAUUUUAAAUCACAAAUACCCCCACCUGUUGAUGAAAACUCCAGUCUGUGGCAUGGGUGUACAUUCACUGCCUAAACCAUCUUUGGCCAAAAUUUGCGUGUAUAUGAAGUCAUUCUACUUUAGCAUACUCAAAGGCAUUCCUUUAAACCAUUUAUCUGCUUGUACACAAUAGCCAAAGGAAUAUUUGUUACUAUGGCUGAUGUAAUAAACUAUCAUCACAAAUU